UUUGUUUUUAAAAGACCUUCUUACGAAGGUAUGCUUAAAGAGGGGCUUGCGCCACAUUAGUUAGUUGGUAGAGUAAAAGCCUACCAAGACGAUGAUGUGUAGCUGGACUGAGAGGUUGAACAGCCACAUUGGGACUGAGACACGGCCCAAACUCCUACGGGAGGCAGCAGUAGGGAAUUUUCGGCAAUGGAGGAAACUCUGACCGAGCAACGCCGCGUGAACGAUGAAGUAUUUCGGUAUGUAAAGUUCUUUUAUUGAAGAAGAAAAAGUAGUGGAAAAACUAUAUUGACGUUAUUCAAUGAAUAAGCCCCGGCUAACUAUGUGCCAGCAGCCGCGGUAAGACAUAGGGGGCGAGCGUUAUCCGGAAUUAUUGGGCGUAAAGGGUGCGUAGGCUGUUAGAUAAGUCUAUAAUUUAAUUUCAGUGCUUAACGCUGUCUUGUUAUAGAAACUGUCUUGACUAGAGUGAGAUAGAGGCAAGCGGAAUUCCAUGUGUAGCGGUAAAAUGUGUAAAUAUAUGGAGGAACACCAGAAGCGUAGGCGGCUUGCUGGGUCUUUACUGACGCUGAGGCACGAAAGCGUGGGUAGCAAACAGGAUUAGAUACCCUGGUAGUCCACGCCGUAAACGAUGAGUACUAAGUGUCGGGGUAAAACUCGGUACUGAAGUUAACACAUUAAGUACUCCGCCUGAGUAGUACGUACGCAAGUAUGAAACUUAAAGGAAUUGACGGGACUCCGCACAAGCGGUGGAUCAUGUUGUUUAAUUCGAAGAUACACGAAAAAUCUUACCAGGUCUUGACAUACUCUGCAAAGCUAUAGAAAUAUAGUGGAGGUUAUCAGGGAUACAGGUGGUGCAUGGUUGUCGUCAGUUCGUGUCGUGAGAUGUUAGGUUAAGUCCUAAAACGAACGCAACCCUUGUCGUUAAUUGCCAGCACAUAAUGGUGGGGACUUUAACGAGACUGCCAAUUAAACAUUGGAGGAAGGUGAGGAUUACGUCAAAUCAUCAUGCCCCUUAUGAUCUGGGCUACAAACGUGAUACAAUGGCUGUGACAAAGAGUAGCUGAAACGCGAGUUUUUAGCCAAUCUCAAAAAAGCAGUCUCAGUUCGGAUUGAAGUCUGUAACUCGACUUCAUGAAGUUGGAAUCGCUAGUAAUCGCGAAUCAGC
rnacentral:rRNA from 1 species